rnacentral:sRNA from 1 species
UAAGCUAAAUCGACAUAAACUUUUACAUUUUUAGGCUUGGAAUGUGGCUCCAUGUGGUCUUACCUACCUUUAAUAUCCAUAUUUUCCCUUUUUAAUAGCAUAACGUCCUUAAUAUUUCUCGAAGAAUAAUAAUUUAUUUCGCUAAUUAAUCCAAUAGCAAAUUUUCUUGUAAUUUCUCAAAGCGACGCGAAUGGUAAAACAAUUGGGCUGGUGUAAACGAAUAAAGACAUUCAGCGACCCAUAAAUUGGCUUGCUAUUAACGUUUUUAAGUUUGCAGAGCUUUGUGCAAUUGGUUUUGGGUAUGGAGGCCUCUUUAUAUAUAGGGUAUGGGGAACGUUUGGAAGGCCAGUUUUAUUAUACGUUAAGGGUAAAAAAUAUAACGCAAAUACGCAGCCGUUAUAUUCGUUGUAAACCUGCAUUUUUAUCUGUUAUUUCGGUAAAAAACUUUAUAUAUAAUCGUCGUUAUUAACGGCUUCGUAACUGAUUGUUGAAACUGGUAAUUAAUAUUAUUAUAUUUGCCAACGCCCAGGAGGUUUACAAUUGCCCGUAAUAAUUAUAUUUGUGCAGACCCGGGCAACGGACUUAAUCUCUGGUUCCCGGUAAACCCGAUUAAGACGAGAAGUUAUUAUAAGCGUAAAAUAUAUAAAAAUAUGCAAAUAUCGCUAAUAAGCCAAUAACCUCGUUCCUCAACUACCGUUGCGGUUUUCUUCCUCCUUCGGAAACCUCAAACCACCGCCCCUGCUAUGGUUUUAACGCCAGUUUUGGGUAAAAAAAGAGAAAAAAUGGGGUGUGGCGAAAGGGACUUUUUGCCCAUUACCGUGAUUUUUUUUAUUUAUAAACCGUCGGUUUUAUUAGGGUAUUUUCAAAUCCAAACUUUACCGGUCGUUUCACCGAUCGACCCUUGCGUGUUUUGGUAGUUUCUACCGGCUAAUCGUUAUUACUAAUAGCGCGCAAUUUCUUUUUAUUUUGCUGUUUUAAUAUUUUUGCUCCGUAUACUGGACCAGAAGGGCGAUUACAUUUGUUUGUAACUUGCUCGCGAUUAUUUGCAAUGCUAAAAAGCUCUUGUUUGAGGCGCCCAUUCUAUUGGGGAUUCGUAUCUGCGAUAGGCAAUCUACGGGCGGCAAACGGCUUUCGACACGCUAAUAACGAUAUUAUAAUCCGCUUAUUUUGCCUUUUUUUAACUAUUUUUGCAUUGGACCGCAAUUUCGAAAACGUCACCGUCGUAUUUGUCUGCUGUCGCAUAUUCCUAUCUCCAAUAAAGCGGAGCCUCCUCGGUCUACGGGUAGCCGUUGUGGGGCGGUUUAAGCUCCGAAAAUCCUUUAUCACUUUUUUUUACCGUUCGCUCCCUGUAAAUUUGGCACCAUUUGCAAUAUACCCCAAACUGGCGCUUUUAAAUGGUUCUUUCCACACGUAUAUGGAUAUAGAUAUUGGUGGUUUAUUAUGGAGGUUAUAUAGCGUUAUAUCUUCCCUGCUAUUAUCGUCGUUUUCGUCGCAUAAAGUAUCGGUUUCGAAACGGGCGAUCUCGUCUUCCACAAAUGUCAUUUUUUUUUUUUUUACAUCGGGUGGCGUAUAACCAGGGAAUAUCUCCUCGGCAAUUUGUUAUCCAUAUUUGGCAGUUCGCCAGGAAACCGUCGUCAAAUAUAACUUUAGUCCGCGAUUGAGUUAAUUUACGAAAUCUUCGUGUCCGAAUUUUAUUACUAUUGGGGUAUUUGGUUUAGUGCGUUGUAAAAUAUCCACGGGAACUUCUUCCUAAUACGGUAGUUUAUUAGCCGGUUAUCCUUUAAUAUUUGAAAAAUUACUAGCUGAAAAAGAUUUAUAGGUAAAUGCCGGUCGAUAUUUCUAUAAUAAAGGGUAUUUGAGCGAAUAAUAUUUAAAUUUAUCGACGUAUAAUUUUCCACGCUAUGUUUAUAAUCGCCAAAAAUGGUUUCGGCUUUUAGUUUCCAAUAUAUCUCGUCCUAAAUAGCCGCCCGAAUGGUUUCCGGAAAAAGUCCUAUUUCCUUUAUUACUUCGUGGAAUAUUUUGCAAAAGAUCGAUAAUUUCUCAGCCAAAUAAAAAAUAUAUUAAUGGUAUUUUCUCGAAAUAUCCAUUAAUUGCUUUAUUUCGGAUAUAAAAUAUGCGGGAUUUUUAAUUUUCCAACGCAGGUUGUCUCGUUCUGCAAAUAUGUAGCCGUUUUGGCACAAUUUAUUGCAUCGCCAUUUCCAGGACUGCUGGUUUAAUAUUUGCGAGACCAUGUCGCCGUCAGGGGUCCGACGAUAAAAUAAUUUACACGCUUAAAAGAAAAAUCUAUUUUGCGUUUACGCGACAGUUUAUGGUCGGUAAUUGCUGGACGACUAACGGUGGAAAAUUGCGUAAAUUGUAUUAUCGACAUAUUGCAAAUGGAUACAAUCGUAUUUUAACUCUGGAGGAUCGAGGAAGUAUUAACGCGUAUGCUCGGACCCCUCGUUUCCGUAUGGCUCGCUCAGUUUACGUGACCAUAUUUCCACAUUUUUACAAAGGAAUGCCUAGGUGCGUACAAUUGGCACGGCUUACUCGGUUUACGCAAUAGUAAUUUAAAAGUGUCCGAUAGGGGUUGCACAGAUAGCCAAAAGUUGUGUUACAUCCUAUUAACUACCCAUUAUCGCAUUUUUCGCUACUUAAACACCUUAUAAUGGGUGUGGGGGGGGGGGUGGCUUCUAAACAGCACGAGAUAAAUUUCCUGCGUUUGAAAUUCGGGUAACAAAAGCUUAUUAGCUAGGGAAAACAUGGGAGGAAGGGCUAACUUACUAAUAGCGACGCGGCCGAGCCAAUAGCUGUACAUUUAUAAACGCCUUAAAUUAAACGUCUUUUGUUACGGAAUUAAAUAAGGUAAAUUAUUAUUGGUUAUAUAUAUUUAGUCCAUAUUAUCCAAUAUAAAAAAAACGGAAGGGCCUUAUUUUUUUUAUUUUGGCGAAAUGUUCGCGCUGCUAUAAUAAUAUUACAAAUUAUUAUGGAACCCCAAAUUUACGCGACUUUAACACCGAUAAACGCAUUGGCCAGAUUGGCCCUUAGUAAAACAUACGACGUCUUUACCGCCGGGCAGCAAAACUCCCUCCGCGAGGGUCUUUUAUACCGCAUAAAAGUUAAACCGCAAUAGCGGUACAAUAAGGAUAUAUUUCAAUUAAGGCGAAAGUUGCAGAAAAGAUUAGAUAAGGGCGAUAGUUUUACCAGCGAUAGCCUAACCGAGCCCGAAUUUGCGAACGAAAUAAAGAAUAACCAAUAAUUGGGUACAAUUUGGGAAAGGUAGUACCUUUUGGCUUUUAAUCCUCAGCCCAGAAUAGCGGAAAUCGGAUGGAAAGUGGGUAAAAAUAGCCAAAUAUUAAAUUUAUAAUAUCCAAACCUGGUUUUAUAUACGUUAAUAUUUGCGAAGAAACACAGCGUUAAUAUCCGGACUGUAUACGCACAAUUUAAUUUCUGCAAAGAAAACUCGGCCUUAUUUAUCGUGGGGAGGCGAUCUUAACACGCCGAGCUUAAGAUUAAUGGAAUUAUUAUUACCGAGCAAUUGUUUGCUUUAAACCAACGUUUAAUAAAAGUCGAUUUUAAUAAGUUUACGUACGAAUUACAAUUUACAAUAUGGGCCGAUACAGAGGAAUUCAAGUCCACGAGACGCAGGUAUUUAACCACGUUUUUUGGGGUGCAGCCGAUUCUUAAUUUUAAAAUGCCGACUCCCCGUCACGAUGUGCAGAUAAUGGGAAAUUGGAUUUUGGCGCAACCAUUUGGCCGAGGCGGUAUUGGAAGAGUUUUCUUUACUUUUAAUGCAAAAAAUAAAAUGGUUGCCGUUAAAGUUAUGGAAAGAGAUUAUUAUAUAUAAUAUAAUAUAAAUAAAGAGAUUUCCACGUUUAAAAAAUUAACAACUUUUAUUUAAUAUUGGGGUAAAUUUAAGUCUAUAGUACAGCUGCGGGAAAUGGUCGGCAAAUUUUCCGAUAUUCCGUUUGAACAAAUCGCGGUUAUUUUAAUAUUUAUAACACCCAAUAUUUUUUGCGAAUUUGUACAACGAAAAGACGAGUAAGGUAAUUAAUUAUAAUAUCCCCCCUCCUUUCCGCUUUUUUAAAACUAAUUGCGUGGAAUAAAAUAAGAAACUGGAACGGAAUAAAGAGGGAGGAGGCGCAACUGUUCCGCAAUCUUCUAUUGCAAAUGAAAGUCUUGCACGACAAAGGCUGGCUGCACGGCGACCUAAAACCGGAAAAUGUCGGCAUAAUUGGGACACCGCAACGGGCCGUAUUUUUGGAUAUAGGUAACGCGAAACAUUUGAGACCAGGCUGCCGUCUGGAUCCUAUUCCGGGUUCUGGCGGCAUUAUUGGAUAUAUUGCCCCUAAAAAGGAGAUGGAGUCGUAUAACCGCUCCAUAGAUAUUUGGAGUUUGGGAAUUAUCGGCUAUAAGAUAAUAUACGGUUAUCCGCCAUGGAAAUAACCGCAGAAUGUAUGGCGCAAAGACCGCUGUAACAACCUGCGUGAAAUUUUCUAUAAAUAAUACGACGAAACCAUUACGAAAUUGGUAUAUAAUUCCAAAUUGGUACUAAUGGAAACGCACAUUUAGCGUAAAUUUAAUCGUAGUUUUUAAUUCUUAUGGCUUUUAAAACUUCUGCUAACAAAUUAAUAGUCGGUAAGUUUAUUAAACAGAUGCUAAAAUAUUCUAGAGUUCGACAAAAUAACCAUUUUCGUAUUUGCAUAAACGAGGCUUUUAAACACCCAGCCUGGGGCUCCUUGCGGGAAGAUAUUCCUUAAGAAACCAAGAGAUAAAAAGGGCUAUUGUAAUUUAACCUAAAUAGCGCUACCCAUUUUAAUAUAUGGCUCUCAUAACAAGUAGACCUAACUGCAUAUAUAUUGGUAUGCGUUACACGAUAUAUUUGCUAGCGAUAAAACAUAUUUGUCGGCAGUCGUUACUACACCAAUAUAUACGAAUGGUAAAACCUUUUGGGCUCCUAACCUGCGAGCGUUUGAAUCUGGUUCAAAUCAAACGUUUACCGCUUAUAUAUAACCCGUAUUUUGCGUUUUUUUUUUGCAGAUUAUACCAGGUUAACGGUAUUAAGUCCCCAUUGCCCUGGAAGGUAUAGUUGGCCUCGAUAAUACCCGCAAUAUAAACUUAAUUAAAUAGGUCCUUAAAGGUUUUAUCGAAAAAGUUAUUAUUUGCAGGAAAUAGCAUCUCCUGCUGUAAAUAAUAUGGUGGAUUUAUAAGACCAAAGAUUCCACGAUUAAAUAAACAAUACCCAAAGAAAUAUCUUUCGAAACCCGCUCUUUAUCCCUCCUUUUAAUAUUAUCUAUCCAAAUUAUAUUUAUAACCCAGUCCUGAACCCAUUCCUUUUUUGGAGGUUGUCUCGAGGGGCGUGGGAUGGAGGCGAAAUGCUGCUGGUGGAUUAUUCGUGCCGGAUACGUGCAAGAAAAAUUGCAAAAAUGCGCGCCGGAGAUUUUAACAGGAAGAAAAAGGAAAACACGAGAGGGAUUAUUACGAGUCAGUUAUCGCCGUUAUAAUUCUCCAUCGCGCGACGUGAAACGAAACAAAAACAAAUCCAAAACUAAAGAUCGCCUGCAACCCCCGCAAGCGGCGCCGCCCCUAAUAGGUUUUGAAAUAACCCUAACUGUGUUUGACGGUAUAAUCGAUCUCGGAAAUGUUAGCUUUUGUAAGCUAAUAAUUAUGGUUUUCCGCGUUUUAUCCUUUGACGAAGGCGCGCCGCUAUAGUUCUCGGUAUGGAGCAUUGGCGUGCCGGGGUUGGACUGUUGCAAUUUUAAUAAACCAAAGCUUUAAUCCGAAAAAUGCCCACAGCCUAAAUAUUACCUUACAGGCCUAUAAAUCCGUCAGGACGCCCAGCCACGAUUAUUACUUUAAUAUAAAAGGUAAAACAGAGCAAAUUAAUAAAAUAAUACCUAAUUAGCCGGUUUAUUUAUAUGUUCUAAAAUAUAUAUUUGGGAGUUGUAGCACAAAUCUGUUAAUUUUAAUAUACCCAGAAAUGCCCACCACUCGUAUAUAUUUGCCACCGUCGUAUUAUUAGACAAGGAUUAUAACUAUAAGGCAGUUAAUAUCGCCAAUUAAAAACGGAAUUACCCCCCUUUCCUUCUCAAUCCUCAAACGGAAUAAUAUAACGGCGCAAGCGUGUCGAUAUAGGCCUGGGGAGCAAGCAUAUAAGGGAGGCGAUUUGGCGGUUCUUCCAAUUAAUUAUUUUUUAUUAACACACCCCGCCUCCCCCCUGCAACAUCUUUGCAGAUUAGUUGUACGAGCGCGCUGGCUGGCCAGCGAUAGGGAAAGAUAUACGGUAGCGCGAAUAUUGGAAUCGCGUAUUGGGACGUGUCGUUAAAGGUAAUUGGAUACUGUAGUAGAAAAAGACCUUUAUUAUAUACCAGUUUAUCGCACGGUGUUUUAUAGCCGUGCUAUGUGGUUUAUAACAAGAGGUUCGUUAGUGUAAUUUAAAUGGACGUUUUUAACCCUAGUAAAUAUUUAAAACCAAUAUUUUGCAGGUUAACCUUAAACUAUUUAAUAUGAUUUUCCCCAAAUAUUUA